UUGUAGAAUUUGAAGACUUCAACUUGUAUACUUGAAGUAUUUGAUAUCUUCAGCUUUUAUACUUGGCUGAAUUUAAAGACUUCAACU
rnacentral:pre_miRNA from 1 species